UACGUAGGCAGCGAGCGUUGUUCGGAGUUACUGGGCGUAAAGCGUGCGUAGGCGGUGUCUUAAGUUUGUUGUGAAAUCUCCCGGCUUAACCGGGAGGGUGCGGCGAAUACUGAGAUGCUGGAGUGCCGGAGAGGUAAGCGGAAUUCCUGGUGUAGCGGUGAAAUGCGUAGAUAUCAGGAGGAACACCGAUGGCGAAGGCAGCUCGCUGGGACGGUACUGACGCUGAGGCGCGAAAGCGUGGGGAGCGAACAGG
rnacentral:rRNA from 1 species